rnacentral:misc_RNA from 1 species
AUUCUCUCUAGAGCAUCAGAUAUCUCGUCUUUGCUUAUCUCCUUCAGGUCACGCCUGGCUGCGAGAAUAGCUGCUUCAUUCAUGAGAUUCUGCAGAUCAGCUCCAGUGAAACCCGGGGUUCUUCUAGCAACUUUCUCAAAGUCCACAUCCUUUGCGAGUGCUUUUCCUCUCGAGUGCACCUGAAGUAUCUUGACUCUGCCAGCAACAUCCGGCCUAUCAACGGUAACUUGCCGAUCAAACCUCCCCGGGCGCAACAAUGCUGAAUCAAGAACGUCCGGCCUGUUAGUUGCAGCUAGAACAAUCACCCCACUAUUGCCCGAGAAACCAUCCAUCUCCGUCAACAGCUGGUUAAUCGUCUGCUCCCUCUCAUCAUUGCCACCCCCAAGCCCUGCUCCUCGCUGCCUCCCCACCGCAUCAAUCUCAUCAAUGAACACAAUGCAGGGUGCCUUAGACUUUGCCUUCUCGAACAAGUCCCUCACCCUAGAGGCCCCCACACCUACGAAUAGCUCGACAAAUUCCGAAGCAGCACACGAGAAGAACGGCACUCCAGCCUCUCCGGCCACAGCACGAGCAAGCAGGGUUUUCCCUGUCCCAGGCGGGCCGACCAAGAGACACCCUUUGGGGAUCUUUGCACCCAAUGCAGUAUACUUGUCAGGGUUUUUAAGGAAGUCUACAACCUCCUGAAGCUCAAGCUUAGCCUGGUCAGCACCAGCUACGUCAGCAAAGCUGACGCCGGUCUCCGGCACCUCCUGGAACUUCGACUUCGAUCGCCCAAAGUCCAUUGGGCCACCGAGCCCCCCGGGGCCGCCGCCGGGACCGCCCUGUGAUCUACGGAAGAGGUAGAACAGCCCGGCGAAAGCCAGGAAAGGGAAGAUGAGAUUGCCUAUGAAACUGAAGAGGCCAUUGCCGGUAUCACCUUCGGAGACGGAGAUGUCAACACCAUUCAUGGCAAGGAUGUCGAUGAGGUCUGGGUCGUUGGGGACUACGACGGAUGCGCGGCGGCCAUCAACUGCGGUGAGCUGGAGGAUGCCGCCGUCCUUGUUGAAGCGGACGCGCUCAACUUUGCCCUUCUUGACGGCGUUGAGGAACUCGCUGUAGCGCCACUGAGAGCCGUCGGGGAGGUCGGGGGAGGCGGCGGGUUUGGGGGCGGUGAGGGAGGAGUUGGAGAAGGGGGAGGCGGUGGGUUGAGGGGCGGGCUGGAGCUGGGGGGGAGGUGAAGGGGGAGGGGGGAGGUCGGCGGCGAUGGACGGAGCAGCGCCGGCAGCGGAGAAGAGGACGGCAGCCGCGGCGGCAGCGGCAUGGGAGGUGAGGAGGAGGGGUUUUGGGUCUUUUGACAAAUUGGGUUGCUGGGAAAUGGAGUUUUGGGAAGAUGGUCGGUGAGAUUGGGGUAGGAGGAGGCAGUGGGUGGGCUUGAUGCGGUGGAGGUAGAGGGAGGGGGUGGAUUUGGGGCGGAGCUGAG